rnacentral:lncRNA from 1 species
AACGCCUCCUCCUGCCACCACCCCGCAGUUCUCCUCAGGGUGAGUCAGCUUAGGGUGGCAGCUCCGAGGCCAGGCAGCUGCGAGGGGGAGGACGAACCGGAUGCCUCCAAACUGGUCCCUGCGGAUCCCACCCUGGCACCGGGCCUCCCUGGUGGCAUCCUGUUUGGCAGGCCAGCCUCGAAGAAAGUUUACAAUUAACAUUCCUGGUUUAGUCUCCACCCCCUCUUGAAAUGGAAUUUUUAUCUCUUGAUUCCUGCUACAAGAUGCGAUGCCUGUUUAUCCAGUUGCAUGAAUAAUUGGUCAGCUCUUUCCAACUUGCCAGAAGCAACCCCUGGCCGUUUCUGGAGCACUGGGAGAGACCUUCGCACAGUUUCUGCUUGGAGUCCACCGCUCUUCAUCUCAGGUGGAGGUUUGUGAGUUACAGGUCUAGACAGCUACCUGUUCUAUUUGGCUUAGCCUGUGCUGCAGAAAGUCCCAGUUCUUCCAAAUCAAGCUCCAGGAAAUUGAGAAGCAUGUUAUUAGUUUUAGCAAACAAUUUAAACAAAACUAAGACCAGAUCUCCCAGCAAUGGUGAAGGAUCUCAAGGGAGACCUUGGUCACAGUGGGCCUGGCUUCCCUACAGGCACUGCCUGCCAUAGAGGACAAGCCAUCGAAAAGUGAGGGAGAAGAACAAUGACGCUGCCAGUGAUCCUGCCCCCAGCGUGGACCCUGCUGCUCCUUGAGGAAAUACACGGUCCUGGGAGCUCCGCUAGUGGGGUGCGCACCAUCCCACAGUGGUUCUGGUGCCUAAGAUGUACAUUAGUUGGACCACACCAACCAGCCUUGCACGACCGUUCUGAGUAAUUGAGAGGAG